CGGCCCCCGCCCUGCUCCCCUCAGCCCCCGGCCCGGGCACACGGGCGGGGAGCGCUGGGCGAGGCCGCAGCCGGAGGGGAAGAGGAGCGCCGAGCCUCCCUCCGUCACCGCCACGGGGCGGGCGCGGGAGAGCCCCCUCGGGGCCUCCUGAGGGGGCGGUGUGGGAGGGACGGAGGGAGUUCCACCCCCCGAAACGCCGCGGAGGCUGUCUCGGUGGAUUUCCUGCGGAUCCCGGAGGGAUCAGGGGCCCGUGGGUCCCUGUCCUGCCUCUGUGUCGGGAUGCGGGUGGGCUCCUGCCCUGGGCGCUUCUUGCAGCACGGGGGGAGAUUGCUUGAUUUGUCUCGCUGCUUGCACGACUUGAGGGCAGAAGUUCUCUGAAGAAUCUCGAACCUUAUCUGUUUGCUGAGGAAGGAUCUCCUGUCCAUGACCUGAGGUACCGCCCCGUCUCCAGCCCAGUGUCUCACCUGGGGUGCCCUGAGCUGCUGCAGCUCAGUCUCCCAGGCAGGAAGCACGUUUCGGGUUAGUACGUCUGUGCUAAAUCAGCCCUGCAGAAGAGCAUGGAAUGCUUGUAUUCCUGAACUCUGAUUUAGCCAGGUAUUUCUUAGAAAUGAAAAUCCUUUCAUGUCAGUGCCAUUGUUCUUCAGCUCAGGGUGGUAUUAUUAAGGCUUUUGUAGGCACAGGAACUUUUUACAUUCCUUAGAAUUUUUGUUUGUUGCUUCAUAUGCAACAUGGAAUUAAAGCAGCAAGCUUGAAGUAAAGAGGAACUAGUUCACCCUUUCCUCCAUCCUUUUCAUAAUGAGAGAGCUUCUUAGCAAAACCAAAUUAAGGUAUUUUGCAGGUUUUAUAUUUAUUUUCAACUAAACUAAUAUUUCUAUGGACACAUGGAAAGAAAAUGUUGAGUUUUAUAUUCAGUUAAAAGUUCUUUGUAUUCCUAGACUUUUUAUAGAGCAAAUAAAAUACAAAUAAGAGUUUGCUUGGUUUAAGUUUGUACUUGCACAUAAAAUUCAAGUUUCCCUUUUCUUCUAUAACUAAUCUCAGAAGCUUAAUUUUCCCUGGAGUUUGGAAAUGGCAGAAGAUAAAUGUUCUCUUGUGGAAACAUACCUGCAGUUGUAUUUUUGCUGGAGAGUAAUGGACAAAGGAAGAAGAAAUAACCACUUUGAUGGCAGCUGUACGGCAGGUUUGGACUGUGUCUGAAGAGAAACGUGACUUUUUACUUUUCUGUGGCUGCUCUUAUAAAACGUCUCUUGAACCUCUUUAUUCAACUGUACUUUUGAUAUGCAGAUACCACACUGGGGCAAUGGGCAAUGUCAUUUUGCCAUCACCAAGGCCAAACUUACCACCCAUAGGCCAAACUUACCACCCAUCUCAGGAGAAAGCUGUGCCACAGCACCAAACUCCAGCUGGUAUAGGAAGUUGCAGUGAAUUCUCACCUGUAUAAAAGCUGCAGACAAGUGCAAGGUGUCCAACAAUUACAGAGUAACACAGGACCCAUGUGUUUCAGAAAGGGGGAAACACUGGAAGGACUUGGAAGAUUUUGGCAAUGGAAAAAAUUUUCAGACAGGGAAAGGAGCAUCAGUACAAUGGAUGUGCAUGAUCUGGAUGGAGAACUGAUGCCCUGCAGCAGUCUCUGAAAUCAAAGGUCUGGCCAUCCUUCUGUGUGAGAGAAGACAGCAGAGUGGCACUGGGCUGUGAAUAACGUGGAAUGUGACAAAAGGACCCAUGAACUGUUCGCUGAUGUGUCUAGUAUGGUAAUGCUUUCAAAGAGAAGGUUGACUAGAGAUGACCUGCAGGUAGUUCCCACCUGGCCAUAUGGAUUCCACUGUAUAAAUGCUUUAUAGCUUAUUUAUAAUGAAAAUAUAAAGCCUUGCUUUUCUGGACCCAGGAGGAAUUAAAUGUAAAAACAGACUUCCUCUUUUAUGUUGGGGGUUUUUUCCCUCCAGCUCUAGGCACCUUCCCAACAGUCAGCACUUAGCUCCAAAGCACUCUUGCAGCUUUCUGUGGCAGGACUAAGCUUCACUGAAAGUGAGUAGUUUUCUCCUUUGCUGAGAGUUUAUGUACACUCUUUAUUACCAGCACAGACUGGGCUACCCAGAUAGGGAAGCUUGAACCUGUGUGACACGUCAGUGUAGCUGGUAAAUAGCUGUGGAGGCUUGAUUCUGCUGGCAGUCUGGAGUAAUGUCGCAUUAGAGUAGAUGAUUUUGAAGAAACAGGGCUGUGACUUCCUUUUGGAAAAGCCUGGCACUCUUCCCUGUGCUUUCCCACCCUGCUUUGCAUCCUGCCCCAGCCAGCUGGUCGUUGUACCUGUGUGGGCCUCAGUGCCCCAGGAUAGCGGUGACAAGAUGUCACCGCCUUGCCAAAUGCUGGUGAACAGCCAUGUUUGGAUCUUGGCACUCAUUCUGCAGGAGCUGGCACAACCACUAGAGUUAAUUUAAACCUUUUGCCAGGCUUCUUUCUCAUACAUCUCGCUGGGCCUGUGCUAAAGACCUCCUAGCCGUGGGGGAGAUAGGAAAAAGAAGCAAUCUUGGGGUUUGAGUAUAAGAGAGACAAGAUUUUAGGCCAUUGCUCCAAAAAGAGGCCAGGCAAGGCUGUGAGGUUCCUGCAGUGGCAGACAGAAAUCAAGGCCUCAAAGGUGGCUUGGCAAAGGUCAAGGAACAGACUCUCCAUCUCCUGUGAUGGGAUGAACAGGAAUUUUGACUUAAGAGGUACUGCACACUCUCACACUGCUGAUAGAGAAGACCAUGCUGUGGUGGGCAGUGCUGUCUCUGAGGCACAUCUCAGACUCCCAUCACUGACAAUUCUGUCUCCAUCCCACUAUCUCUAUAAGGAGGGAAGUGAGAGGGGAAGGGGUUGAGAAGAGGGGAGGCUGUUCGGGAAAUUCCUCAAGGCUUUGCUAAAGUAUGGGAAACAGGAGAGCCAUUUGGUCAUCAAAAGUUGGCAGGCAAAGGGCUCCAUUUCUCUCCAGAGCCUGUAGAAAAAUGCCCAUAGUAGCAAAGAAUGGCUUAGCUGGAAACAGCACACUCUAAAAAGGUCAGGGGGUUUCAGGAGCAGCCUGCAGCCACCUUGAAGAGGAAAACCUGGCUGGAGAGGAGACACCACCAGAGCUGCUGUUUUGCUCCUCCAAAUUCCUAUCAACAUGCCCUGGUGGAACAGCACAUACUGCCACUGGAAGCUCCUGUCACAGCUUCUUCUAGCUGGAAAUGGGACACAGUUCAACCCCUUCUGGGAAGCAGGAAGCUGGUGGCAGGACACCGUGUCUCCACCCUGCUGAGCAGUCUUGCCCAUGAUGAGGAGCAUUCACUUAGAAGGUCAUGGCUGAACUUUCCCUUAUCCUUUAUUUUAAUGCCUUAACUUAGUGGCUCUGCAGUGAUACUACUGCCACUGCUUGCAUUUCAAUUACCAUAGGCAUCAGUGGCACUUUUCUGACAAUAAAAUUUUGUGAAAUUAUAAGGUGCUUGUAUUUUCACCCAUCAGAAAAAAAUGAUGCUUUAAAAAAAAUUAUGAAUCCCCUAAGCAAAUGCUAUAGACCAGUUGCAUAGGCAGUGAAGUUACAGAAGCCAGUGGAGCCAGGAAUUUGAAUAGCUCAUGUAGUUAAAGGAAAGGGCUCACUCACCAUCUUUAAAAUCCAUGGAAGCAUUCCAAAUAUGAUUAUUCUGCAAUCCUGUUCACAACAAAUCUUGCAGCCUGACACUACAUGCCCAUUCCCAUUGAUUGUAUGGCCUGCACAAGCACUCUGAGCCUAUUAAGCCUGAAGUCCCUGCUGCAGAUAAUAACUUAGACAUUUCAGUCCCUUGAGCAGACACAAAAAAGUACUUACUAGCACAGUUGUCAAUUUUGUGGAAAUGUCCUGUGGGAUUCCAUACGUCCAUAUCCUAACAAGUGGCUGAGCUCUUUCCUUCACUCCCGCAGGUGUGGUUAAAUCAAGGAGCAGUCAGUGCUAGCUGGAGGCAGGCAGGCCUCAGCUGCCUGGUGCCUGCCAGAGAAUAUCCAUGAUCCACUGCUGGCUGCUGGAUGCUCCGGAAAGAUUCCAUCUCCCACCACAGCAGAGGAGUCAGUGAGACCCCCUGGACUCAGAAGGGCAAUCCUAAUAUGCCUGAUUUUCACCAUGCCACAGUAGCAAAUCCACCUUUCUCAGUGAUGGAAAGGGGAAUUUCUGACAUUCUCAGGUCUUUGCUGGUUGCAGAUCAGCUCACACCAGUGUCAGUAAUUCACCCCUGUGACUGAGCACCGCAGCACAGCCCAAAGGAGAAUCACCUGGAGACACCUGCUGGGAGGUCCAGCAUGGCUCCUGGACCAGGGCACUGCUCCUGGCAUCCUUCCUGGCACAGGGAGAGCUGGCUCUGCUCCUCUCUAGAGCAGCACAAUGCCCACAUGUGGUGCCAGUGACUCCCAAUCAGUGUCACGGAGUACAGACACCACUAAAGGAAACCCUUUCUUGCAUUCUGAUCAAAUUCCAUAGUUCUGCUCAUGGCUCUGCUCUGGUGGGAUCUCGUGCCUGUGUUUUGUGUUGUAGUCACUUCUGUUUUGUAAAGAAGCUCAAGUCAUUUUCCUGCUCUGAAUGAAGGACAGAGGUUGCAUCCAGCAGUCUCAGUGACACUUUACCCAACCCUCAUGGCAGUGCUGGCUAUGAACCAAAUAUUAACAAGAAAGAGCAGCUUAACAGAGUGUCAAGAUUACAAAACACGCUUUUCUUUUCAUGUUGGUUUGGGUUUUAUUCCUGCUUCUAAUAACUCUUCUAGGAAACAAAAUUUCCCAAUACUUCCUUUUCUGGUAAGACAGAGUUCGUAUGGUAUUCUACCCCAAAGGUAAGAAAAGGACAUUCUCUGGGUUUAUUUUUUGAACUAAAACUAUACUCCAGUUUGGGCUGUGCAUCCCUUAACAGUGUUGUUCCACUCAUGGAUUGAUCAAAGACACCACAGACAAUAGGAAAAGUAGGAGGGAGUGCUAGAACACAGAGCAGGCAGGAUUGCAGACAGGUGUUUAAAUGAAUUCACUGGAUAUGAAGAAAAUUCUGCAGGAUCUGAAAGCCAAAAGUCAAACUUUGAACUAUUCCUUCUGAAUUUGCACUUUUACAUGUACAGCACAGCUGAAUUAGAGCCUGAAGAUUAUAAAAAUGCAGACACAGAAUAACAAGGCUGGUUUUCCAGAUCUUUUGAUCCUACAGCCUGUUUUCUCCAAGAGCAAGGUUUAGCUUCUAGGAAAAUAAAGGUGACACAAACAAAAGUGCUUUCUGUUAUGAUAAGAAAUUAUCAAAUACCAGUGCAAAAGUUCAAAACCUGCUGAAUUCCCAGUAUGUAAAAUUGGUCCUGGCUACUCUCUGCUCUGGAUGAUUUCAGUGUCACUGUUGUCCUGUCAUUUAUUUGAAGCCAAAACCAUUAUUUUUGGGAAGCAGGUAGGCUUUCAGACUCUCCAAAACCAAUUCAGUAUAAUUAUGGGGUAGGAUGUACUAACACUAAAAUAUUAAUUCAUACACAGACAAAAACAUAUAUUUAGCUGCCUCCAGAAUUCUUGUGAACAACAGCAACACAUAGAAGGCAUUUCAUCUUGCAAAGCCAUCAUGGACGAAAGAGGACAUUCAAAGGCAAUGGAGAAAUCCUUUUGUCUAAUGAAAACUGAAUGGGAGGUACAUUUUCUUACACUGUGGUCUCCUGUCCCAGAUCUCCUCCCUGUCUGAAACACUGUGCCAAAGCUCAAGCAGUAAAUCUGUCUUAGCCAAAAGAAGCCUGCUGGAAACCAGAAUAAAUACAAGUGGAACUGGA